GUGGCUUAAUUUGCACUCCAUUUGUGUCCACUGAUGGUCAACUAGCAGACAUACUUACCAAAGGAUUGUCUGGGAAGUUGUUUUAGAAAUUAGUAAACAAGCUGAGAAUGGAUGAUAUCCACUUCCCAGCUUGAAGGGGAGUGUCAGAUUUUAGUUUCCUAAUUAAGGAAUAUUUGAGUGUAUCAAAUAGGAUUCUGUAAAUAUUUUAUCCCUAACUUUAAG
rnacentral:lncRNA from 1 species